GAGAGCAUGUGGAUCGUUUGAGAGGCUUUUUGCAAUGUUUGCACGCUGGUACUCACUGACGGCAUUCAUGCAUUUCCGCGACAGAUACUCUCCACGCUUUGCUUUCAUCUCGCUUCGUGUGCGGCGGGGCUUCAUUUCCUCCCUUUGUGGCAGUUCACUUCUUCCUUGACAAUGGUGACAUGUUUUUGUGGUUCAGUACAAGACAUGUGUUUUAUUAUUUUCGAAAAACCCGAUAGAUGGUCGCAAAUCCCAAGUCCUAAAAUUGGUGACCUAAGACUGACUCGAGUCCAGUCCUGUGUCGAGUGCCCCAACUCUGCUGAAUGCACCAUAAAACACACAUACAAACAAACAGACACAAAAAAAGUGGAUCUGUUUCUCCCGUCAUGCACAAAGCCGAGAAAUUGGAUUGACUGCGAAGAUCAAGAUGAAAUAUUGGCUAUUAUUCACAAAUGAAGGUGGAUUGUAAUUGAAAAAGAAUGUGCUCUGACACGAGACUCCUGCAAGAGAAAAGUAGGCCAUUGACACCCUCGGUCUUGAUCGAAAAGAAGGCCAAGGGCUGUUUUGGCUUUUUUUCUGUGGGAGGAAAGUUUGAUUAUUUCCAGGUGUAUGUGCGACUGCGGGUGCAUCGUGACACAAAUUCACAUAUUUGACGACGUUCGCCGGCUUUAAAAGCCCGCAGUGCAAACAUCCACUUCACACCUGAUUACGUCCGACAUGUGCGAUGACAGCUCUUAAUGCUGACCAAGUACUAUAUCCAACGCCCCCCCUCUUGUGCUUUGCAUGCCGUGGUUUUCGUCACAUUACAAGGCAAGAGAAUCUGCGCCGACCCGACCAAGUUGUGGACCCAAACUAGCAUGGCAUACCUCGACGGGAAGAACUGUCAUGCCCAAAAGCUAGGCACAAAAUGGAAGCGAGCACACCGCUUCACAUGAACUGUAGUAAUGUCUUCAUAUUUUGUACAUUAAAAGGCUCCUUUUU